GCGGGUAUAGCCAAGCGGCCAAAGGCGGCGGUUUGCAAAACCGUUAAGCAUCGGUUCGAAUCCGAUUACCCGCUCCA
rnacentral:tRNA from 1 species